AUGCACAUUGGUGAAGAAUUGCCGGAUCUUGAAGAUGAAGAUCGAAUCUUGUGCAGAGAGAGAGCGUUUUUUUGUGAAGGAAAAGAUGAAAGAAGUAUAAUUCCUUAUCUACCAGAGAUAGUCCGGUGCUUCUUCAGAUCAGAGAAGAUUAUCAGAAAUACAACGAUGAAGAAUGACCAAGUCGAUGCGGUGAGGAUGAUGUAUGAUAAAGUUGCAACAAGGUUUCCGAUUGAGAGAAUUAGAGAGAGAGGAAUAUGGAAUUCUUCAGUUGUUCCUCGAGGAAAGAGUUGA